rnacentral:rRNA from 1 species
GACGAACCACACAAACGUUAUUCGGAAUUACUGGGCUUAAAGGGUGCGUAGGCGGCGCGGAAAGUUGGGUGUGAAAUCCCUCGGCUCAACCGAGGAACUGCGCCCAAAACUACCGUGCUUGAGGGAGAUAGAGGUGAGCGGAACUUAGGGUGGAGCGGUGAAAUGCGUUGAUAUCCUAAGGAACACCCGUGGCGAAAGCGGCUCACUGGGUCUUCUCUGACGCUGAGGCACGAAAGCUAGGGUAGCGAACGGG